CAUAUACGUCCACUUACUUUUUUACCUACUUGAGCUGAAAUAAGAUAUUCACACUUUCACUAAUUUCUGCUCAAGAAGAUACAAAAGCUAUGUGUUAAGAUGGAUAAUUCCUUUAUUAAUUUAUUUAUAAUAGUGUACUGGUAUAAAAUAGGUUGUUUCAACAUAACACUGGAUACAUAGUAUAUAACAGAUACAUGCCUAUAUAUUAUGAGAUAGUACAUAGUGAAGCUGUCAACACUAAUCAAAGUUAUGCCUGU
rnacentral:lncRNA from 1 species